rnacentral:rRNA from 1 species
AGUGAACGCUGGCGGUAUGCCUAAUACAUGCAAGUCGAACGGCAACACAGUAAGCUUUCUCUUUUACGGUUGGCGAGUGGCGGAUGAGUGAGGCAUACAUCGGAUUCUUCUUUUUCUUGGGUGAUAACGUAGGACAACUUACGCUAAUACAGCAUAUGAUCUACCGCUUAAAUCAGUAGAUCUUCGGACUUUUCGUGUCUGUUUGAGCCGAUGCCGGAUUAGCUAGUUGACGUGGUAAAGGCCCACCUAGGCAACGCUCCGUAGCUGAUCUGAGAGGAUGAUCGGCCACACUGGAACUGAGACACGGUCCAGACUCCUACGGGAGGCAGCAGUGGGGAAUAUUGCACAAAGGGCGAAAGCCUGAUCGAGCCAUGCCGCGUGGGUGAUGAAGGCCUUCGGAUUGUAAAGCCCUUUUGUUGGGAAAGAAAAGCUGCGUGUUAAUACCUCGAUGUUCUGACGGUACCCAAAGAGUAAGCACCGGCUAACUUCGUG